rnacentral:lncRNA from 10 species
GUUAUGAUAAUCCAUUUCCAUGGCUCUCCAAAGAAACUUUCCAGAUGAAGAGAAAUGCUCCAUGUCUGUGCUGUGCAAGAUGGGAGCUUCUGGACACCAGUGGCUACUGAGCACUCGAACUGUGGCUGGUGCAACCAAGGAACCGAAAUUUUUUUUACUUAAUUUUUAUUUUACUUAAUUUUUUUUACUUAAUUUUUAUUUUACUUUAUUCUAAUUAGCUAAAGCUUAAUUUUUAGUAGCUAGUGGCUGCCAUCAGAGUCCAGCAUACUUUAACAUUUAUAUUGUCUUAAUCUUUUCUCUUUUUUUUUCUUUAAAAUAUACACAGAGACAGUGUCUCCCUUUGUUGCCCAUUCUUGGCUUGAACUCCUGGGCUAAAGCAGUCCUCUUGCCUCAGCCUCCCAAAGAUGGGAUUACGGGUGCGAGCCACCACACUCUGCCACUUACAGUAUCUUCUUGUUUUACAUGUUUUCUCCAGAUCUUGAUCCUCAAAAUUGAAAAUCAGUUGUGAGUAUUGCAUUAUUAUGCCUGUAAAAAUUAUCCUUAACUUCACAAGCCGAACAGUAUAGAGUAAUUCCAUUCUGUUCCUUUACUGCUUUUAUUGUUAUUUCUUGAUGUUUUCUAAUUGUUUUUCUAUUUUUCUUUCUUUGGCUGCGCUGCCCAUAUUGGUUACUCCAUAAUUUCAGGGGUGGUAUCACGCUCUGUGAUUCCAUUUUCCCCUGAAUACUUUGCUUUUGGAAACUUUUCCUCUCUUACCGAGCUCCAUGCUGAUGUUUGCUGUGUGGUUCAGCUGCCUGAUUCCCAUCCAAGGAUUUCCCUUUGCAACGCUCCCAGGGAUCAGCAACCUACUUUCCACGGGCCGCUUUUGGCUUGCUGCCUAUUUUUGCACAGCUGGUAAGUUAUGACAGUUUUUUACAUUUUUAGGUGCUUAAAAAAAUCAAAAGAAGAAGAUUUUGUGAUGCGUGAAAAUUAUAGGCAGUUCAAAUGUUAGUGGCCCUAGAUAAAGUUUUAUUAGAGCACAGCUGCUCUUUUACAUGUUAUCUAUGGCUGCUUUGAUACCACAAUGGCAGGGUUGAGUAAUUGAACAGAGAUUGGCCCACGAAAUCUAAAAUAUUUACUAUCUGGCCUGUUCCAGAAAUAGUUUGUCAGCUCCUGGUUUAGUUGGUCAGAGUCAAAAACCCAAGUUCUCACAACGAUCCCCAUAGGACCUAACCAUAAUCAUGGGUUCCCCGGCUCCCCUCUCCAUCUCUGACCCGCUCUGCUCUGUUCCAGCCACACCUGCCCCCAUGCUGUUCCUGCGGCACCAAAAGGCUCUGGGGGUGGCAGGAUGUUUGCAUUUGGGGCUCUGUCUGCGGAUUUCUCUUCCCUUAGCUGUCUACACAGCUCACGCCUUCACUUCCUCCAGGCUGUCACUCAGAGGUCACCUUUGUGAGUCCUUUGCUGGCCUCCCCAUCUAAUUUUUAGCCUCUCCUUAGACUCUAUAUAUUUCCUCUGCUGAUUUAUUUUUCCUCCUUAGCACUUACUUCUACCUAACACAUUAUAUUUUACUUUCUUUGUUUGUGUAGAGAGUACACCAUCCUGAUCUGAGCAUGAGAAAAGAAGUUCCCUGAGGGCAGGACUUUAUUUGGUUCACUGCUGCGUCCUCACUGCCUAGACACAGUGCUCAAAAAUAUUUGCUGAAUGCUAUGGCUAGGCUUUGUGUCCCCACCCAAACCUCGUCUUGAAUUGUAAUCCCCAUAAUCUCCAUGUGUCAAGGGAGACACCAGGUAGAGGAAAUUGAAUCAUGGGGGUGGUUUCCCCCAUGCUGUUCUUGUGAGAGUGAGUUCUCAUGAGAUCUGAUGGUUUUAUAAGGGGCUCUUACCCCAUUACUCAGCACUUCUCUUUCCUGCCACCUUGUGAAGAAGGCGCCUUGCUUCCCUUCACCUUCCACUGUGAUUGUAAGUUUCCUGAGGCCUCCCUAGCCAUGCUGAAUUAAACCUCUUUAAUUUAUAAGAGUCAAUUAAACCUCUUUCCUUUAGAAAUUACCCAGUCUCUGGCAGUUCUUUAUGGCAGUAUGAAAAUGGACUAAUACACUGGAUGAAUGAACACAAAAUUCUAGAGUGAAAUAUAAAUCCUUCAGAACUUUGAAGGCUGUGCUCGCUGACCUUCUAACCCUUAAUGCUACUUCUGUGAAAUCUGGAGCCCUUUGAUUCCUUGUUUCUGUGAAAGUGACUUAUUUUCUGUGUUUGGGAGAUUUUAAGAUUUUCUCUUUAUUUCCGGAGUUUGGAAAUUUUGCAGUGACUUGAAAUUCUUCAUCCUAGGCACUCGAUGAGACUUUUUAAUCUAAAUAUUCUUGGACUUCAGGGGGAUCCUUUAUGUUAUUUCUUUGACUAUGUCAUCAAAUAAUAUUUCCUGAAAAUUUCACUUGAAUUUAUCACCCAACCUAUCAAAAUCUUUAUUUAACAAUUAUAUUUGCAAUAUCCAAGGGGUCUUUCUUGUUUUCAGAUUAUCUAUCUUUCUUAGCAUCCUGUUCUUUUUAAUGGAUACAAUAUCUUCAGGACUGUCUCUAAGGAUACUGAUUAGAAG